CGGUACCUACGGGGGAGCAGUGAGGAAUAUUGGUCAAUGGCCGAGAGGCUGAACCAGCCAAGUCGCGUGAGGGAAGACGGCCCUACGGGUUGUAAACCUCUUUUGUCGGGGAGCAAAGAGAGUCACGUGUGACUCAUUGAGAGUACCCGAAGAAAAAGAAACGGAUAACUCCGUGCCAGCAGCCGCGGUAAUACGGAGGAUGCGAGCGUUAUCCGGCUUUAUUGGGUUUAAGGGUAGCGCAGGCGGAGGUGCAAGUCAGCGGUCAAAUUGCGAGGCU
rnacentral:rRNA from 1 species